AGAGGGUGCAAGCGUUAAUCGGAAUUACUGGGGGCGUAAAGGGGCGCGUAGGGUGGGUUAUUUAAGUUGGACGUAAAAUCCCCGGGCUUAACCUGGGUCGGUCAUUCAAAACUGGAUAACUAGAGUACGGUAGAGGGAAGUGGAAUUUCCGGUGUAGCGGUGAAAUGCGUAGAUAUCGGAAGGAACACCAGUGGCGAAGGCGACUUUCUGGACCGAUACUGACACUGAGGCGCGAAAGCGUGGGUAGCGAACAGGAUUAGAUACCCUGGUAGUCCACGCUGUAAACGAUGAGAACUAGCCGUUGUGUUUUAGGAUACAGUGGCGCAGCUAACGCACUAAGUUCUCCGCCUGGGGAGUACGGCCGCAAGGUUA
rnacentral:rRNA from 1 species